UACGUAGGUGGCAAGCGUUGUCCGGAUUUACUGGGCGUAAAGAGCGCGCAGGCGGUUCGUUGUGUCUGAUGUGAAAGCCCCGGGCUUAACCUGGGAAUGGCAUUGGAAACUGGCGAGCUGGAGUGUGGCAGAGGGGGGUGGAAUUCCGCGUGUAGCAGUGAAAUGCGUAGAGAUGCGGAGGAACACCGAUGGCGAAGGCAGCCCCCUGGGCCAACACUGACGCUCAGGCACGAAAGCGUGGGGAGCAAACAGG
rnacentral:rRNA from 1 species